UACGUAGGGGGCUAGCGUUGUCCGGAAUCAUUGGGCGUAAAGAGCGUGUAGGCGGCCCGGUAAGUCCGCUGUGAAAGUCGGAGGCUCAACCCUCGGAUGCCGGUGGAUACUGUCGGGCUUGAGUACGGAAGAGGCGAGUGGAAUUCCUGGUGUAGCGGUGAAAUGCGCAGAUAUCAGGAGGAACACCAAUUGCGAAGGCAGCUCGCUGGGACGUUACUGACGCUGAGACGCGAAAGCGUGGGAGCAAACAGG
rnacentral:rRNA from 1 species